GAUGAAGAACGUAGCGAAAUGCGAUAAGUAAUGCGAAUUGCAGAAUUUCCGUGAGUCAUCGAAUCUUUGAACGCACAUUGCGCCCUUUGGUAUUCCUUAGGGCAUGCCUGUUCGAGCGUCAUAUAAACCUUCAAGCUAAGCUUGGUGUUGGGUGACUGUCCGCUUCACGGCGGACUCGCCUCAAAAUUAUUGGCGGCCGGUACAUUGGCUUCGAGCGCAGCAGAAACGCGAACUCGGGCCCGUCGUAUUGGCUCCCAGAAGCUAUCUUCACAAUUUUGACCUCGGAUCAGGUAGGGAUACCCGCUGAACUUAAGCAUAUCAAUAAGCGGAGGA
rnacentral:misc_RNA from 1 species